UGUCAGCUGUAGGUUCUUGGAAGAAAAUUGCCUGCAUUUAAUUGCAGCACCAUUUCAGCAAAGAAGAAAUACUCAACUAAGAAAUUCCAUGUGGGAUGAUGGAAGUAGCAUGUGGAUAUCCUACAACAAAGGCAUAAAGCAUCCUGAAUGUUGAUUAUACAGCAAGAUUUGCUACGGCUCAGCUCACACCAAAUUCCUUCCUGCAUUUGGCAGAUAUGAGACAGAAGCCACACCUCUUCCACUCACAGAGGUUUAAGGAUGGAAAUUGUGUGAGAGCCAAGACUCCUCCAAAAAGGACUCCAUCAACAUGAACAUAGCAAACACUGCUGCCACUCCAAACCUACCCGGUGCCUUACAUAACACUGCUGGUCACACCACUGGGCCCAUCUAGAAGAGUAUUGUCUACCCUGACUGUCAGUGUUUCUCCAGGGCUUCAACAAAAGUUAUUUCCACACCUACCUGGAGAUGCCAGGAAUUAAACCACCUGGACCUUUAUUUUGUGCUACACAAAGGAAUGUGAAUCUCUUACCUGCUAUCUCAGGUGACCUCAUGCAUCUGUUCCCCACAUAUUUCUAGUUAACACAGAAACACCUUAUUAAACUAUAGGUGGGAAAGUCAAAACAGUAGACUCUUCUUCAACAAGGAAAAUGUGUUAAAUAGAUAGAUAAGGAUCUGAACAAGACCUUUAAAUGUGUGAAGGUCUAUAGACUUCAUGUACACUGGUAGGCGUUGCACAUUUGCAAAGAUUUACACCACCCUGCCCCCUCACUUCAAAGAAAAAAUUGUUAGUUCGGGUAACAUACUGUAGGUGAAGGUGAUGUUCUA